rnacentral:rRNA from 1 species
AGACGUCUACAUUAGAUACCCGGGUAGUCCCAGCCGUAAACUAUGCGCGUUAGGUGUAUCGGUGACCACGAGUCACCGAGGUGCCGAAGGGAAACCGUGAAACGUGCCGCCUGGGAAGUACGGUCGCAAGGCUGAAACUUAAAGGAAUUGCGGGGAGCACCACAACGGGUGGAGCCUGCGGUUUAAUUGGACUCAACGCCGGGAAGCUCACCGGAUAAGACAGCGGAAUGAUUGCCGGGCUGAAGACUCUGCAUGACUAGCUG